UACUUUGGUGGCGACCGGCGCACGGGUGAGUAACGCGUAUGCAACCCUUUUAUGAGAGGGGAAUAACCCGGCGAAAGUCGGACUACUUCCGCAUAAAACAGGGACACCGCAUGGUGAUAUUUGUUAAAGAAAUUCGCUGAUAGAUGGGCAUGCGUUCCAUUAGGUAGUUGGUGAGGUAACGGCUCACCAAGCCGACGAUGGAUAGGGGAACUGAGAGGUUGGUCCCCCACACUGGUACUGAGACACGGACCAGACUCCUACGGGAGGCAGCAGUGAGGAAUAUUGGUCAAUGGGCGAGAGCCUGAACCAGCCAAGUCGCGUGAAGGAAGAAGGAUCUAUGGUUCGUAAACUUCUUUUGCAGGGGAAUAAAGUGCAGGACGUGUCCUGUUUUGUAUGUACCCUGAGAAUAAGGAUCGGCUAACUCCGUGCCAGCAGCCGCGGUAAUACGGAGGAUCCGAGCGUUAUCCGGAUUUAUUGGGUUUAAAGGGUGCGUAGGUGGUUUGAUAAGUCAGCGGUGAAAGUUUGCAGCUUAACUGUAAAAAUGCCGUUGAAACUGUCGGACUUGAGUGUAAAUGAGGUAGGCGGAAUGCGUGGUGUAGCGGUGAAAUGCUUAGAUAUCACGAAGAACUCCGAUUG
rnacentral:rRNA from 1 species